rnacentral:rRNA from 1 species
CUGAACAUUGAGCCUUGAUGUGUAGGAUAGGUGGGAGGCUUUGAAGUGUGGACGCCAGUCUGCAUGGAGCCGACCUUGAAAUACCACCCUUUAAUGUUUGAUGUUCUAACGUUGACCCGUAAUCCGGGUUGCGGACAGUGUCUGGUGGGUAGUUUGACUGGGGCGGUCUCCUCCUAAAGAGUAACGGAGGAGCACGAAGGUUGGCUAAUCCUGGUCGGACAUCAGGAGGUUAGUGCAAUGGCAUAAGCCAGCUUGACUGCGAGCGUGACGGCGCGAGCAGGUGCGAAAGCAGGUCAUAGUGAUCCGGUGGUUCUGAAUGGAAGGGCCAUCGCUCAACGGAUAAAAGGUACUCCGGGGAUAACAGGCUGAUACCGCCCAAGAGUUCAUAUCGACGGCGGUGUUUGGCACCUCGAUGUCGGCUCAUCACAUCCUGGGGCUGAAGUAGGUCCCAAGGGUAUGGCUGUUCGCCAUUUAAAGUGGUACGCGAGCUGGGUUUAGAACGUCGUGAGACAGUUCGGUCCCUAUCUGCCGUGGGCGCUGGAGAACUGAGGGGGGCUGCUCCUAGUACGAGAGGACCGGAGUGGACGCAUCACUGGUGUUCGGGUUGUCAUGCCAAUGGCACUGCCCGGUAGCUAAAUGCGGAAGAGAUAAGUGCUGAAAGCAUCUAAGCACGAAACUUGCCCCGAGAUGAGUUCUCCCUGACUCCUUGAGAGUCCUGAAGGAACGUUGAAGACGACGACGUUGAUAGGCCGGGUGUGUAAGCGCAGCGAUGCGUUGAGCUAACCGGUACUAAUGAACCGUGAGGCUUAACCUUACAACGCCGAAGCUGUU